rnacentral:rRNA from 1 species
GAUGAACGCUGGCGGCGUGCCUAAUACAUGCAAGUCGAGCGAACGGACGAGAAGCUUGCUUCUCUGAUGUUAGCGGCGGACGGGUGAGUAACACGUGGAUAACCUACCUAUAAGACUGGGAUCACUUCGGGAAACCUGAGCUAAUACCGGAUAAUAUUUUGAACCGCAUGGUUCAAAAGUGAAAGACGGUCUUGCUGUCACUUAUAGAUGGAUCCGCGCUGCAUUAGCUAGUUGGUAAGGUAACGGCUUACCAAGGCAACGAUGCAUAGCCGACCUGAGAGGGUGAUCGGCCACACUGGAACUGAGACACGGUCCAGACUCCUACGGUAGGCAGCAGUAGGGAAUCGUCCGCAAUGGGCGAAAGCCUGACGGAGCAACGCCGCGUGAGUGAUGAAGGUCUUCGGAUCGUAAAACUCUGUUAUUAGGGAAGAACAUAUGUGUAAGUAACUGUGCACAUCUUGACGGUACCUAAUCAGAAAGCCACGGCUAACUACGUG